UAUGAAAAAAGUGGGAAUUGAGAAAAGCAGAAAAGACCCAGAGAGAAUUGAAAGAGCUGACAGAAGAGAGUGAGCACACACUAAACCUAAUUGUAUGAGAAAAUUAAAAAAAAGUUGAAAGUUCAUACCUUUACUUAGUAUGUGCUCAUUUCUCUUUCUGUCAGGCCCUUCUC
rnacentral:pre_miRNA from 1 species